AAUGAACGUUGGCGGCGUGCUUAACACAUGCAAGUCGAGCGGAAAGGCUCCUUCGGGGGUACUCGAGCGGCGAACGGGUGAGUAACACGUGAGUAAUCUGCCCUGUGCUCUGGGAUAGCCACCGGAAACGGUGAUUAAUACCGGAUAUGACCAGCUACUGCAUGGUGGUUGGUGGAAAGUUUUUCGGCACAGGAUGUGCUCGCGGCCUAUCAGCUUGUUGGUGAGGUAAUGGCUCACCAAGGCUUUGACGGGUAGCCGGCCUGAGAGGGUGACCGGUCACACUGGGACUGAGACACGGCCCAGACUCCUACGGGAGGCAGCAGUGGGGAAUAUUGGACAAUGGGCGAAAGCCUGAUCCAGCAACGCCGCGUGAGGGAUGACGGCCUUCGGGUUGUAAACCUCUUUCAGUACCGACGAAGCGCCAAUAACGGUGGUGACGGUAGGUACAGAAGAAGGACCGGCCAACUACGUGCCAGCCGCCGCCGUAA
rnacentral:rRNA from 1 species